rnacentral:rRNA from 1 species
ACCUACGGGAGGCAGCAGUGGGGAAUAUUGCACAAUGGGGGGAACCCUGAUGCAGCGACGCCGCGUGAGUGAAGAAGUAUUUCGGUAUGUAAAGCUCUAUCAGCAGGGAAGAAAAUGACGGUACCUGACUAAGAAGCCCCGGCUAACUACGUGCCAGCAGCCGCGGUAAUACGUAGGGGGCAAGCGUUAUCCGGAUUUACUGGGUGUAAAGGGAGCGCAGACGGCAGGGCAAGUCUGAUGUGAAAGUCCGGGGCUCAACCCCGGGACUGCAUUG